GUCCUAGCUGUAAACGAUGAUAACUAGGUGUGGGUGGUAUCGACCCCUUCCGCGCCGUCGCUAACGCAUUAAGUUAUCCGCCUGGGGAGUACGGCCGCAAGGUUAAAACUCAAAGGAAUUGACGGGGGCCCGCACAAGCGGUGGAGCAUGUGGUUCAAUUCGACGCUACGCGAAGAACCUUACCUGGGCUCGAACGACUGGUAGUAGUCCCGAUGAAAGUUGGGGCGACCCGCAAGGGAGCCAGCCGAGGUGCUGCAUGGCUGUCGU
rnacentral:rRNA from 1 species